AGAAGGAUGGAGCGUCUAGGACGUGAAGAGGAAAGGCUACCCAUGGAGCGUCUAGGAGGAGACCUAGACCGUCUAGGACCUAUCACAAGGUCAAUGGCUAAGCAUAUUCAAGCCCAAUUGAAUGAAGCCACGGAUGGAAGAGAGAAAGCUUUGUACAUGUUGCAUAAAGGCCCAUUAGGGGUGCUUAGUAAUUAGAGUAGUGUAGAAA
rnacentral:lncRNA from 1 species